UUCAUUAAUUGGCAUGGGACAGCCAAUUAAUUGGCUUUUAUUUCCUUUUUUACAUAUAUAUUUGGCAAGAAAUUGGCUUUUAUGUCUAAUCUCUUAAACGUGAGGUUCCUUUCAAAAGAAAUUAAUGUGUAAUUGUGGAAAGAUUAUGAAGGAUUGGCACAUUUUAGAAUUGAUUUUUUUUUAAGCAUAUACAAGAAGAUGUGGACUUCGCUUUGCCUUAGGAUGCAAGCAGGUCUUUUUAAUAUAUUUUUAAGAUAAAGAGAAUCUGUUCAGUAAUAAAACAAACUUCUAAAUUACGCUUUUUUUUUUUUUGGAGACGGAGUCUCCCCCUGUUGCCCAGGCUGGAGUGCAGUGGUGCGAUCUCGGCUCACUGUGCAACCUCCACUUCCUGGAUUCAAGCAUUUCUCCUGCCUCAGCCUCGCAAGUAGCUGGGACUACAGGCGCACACCACCACACCUGGCUGUGAUUUUGUAUUUUGGUAGAGACAGAGUUUCACUGUGUUGCCCAGCCUGGUCUUGAACUCCUGAGCUCAGGCAGAUCACAUGAGGUCAGGAGUUUGAGACCAGCCUAGCCAACAUGGUGGAACUAAUAAUGUAAAACUUAGCCAAGCGUGGUGGCAGACACCUGUAAUCCCAGCUACUUGGGAGGCUGAGGCAGGAGAAUCACUUGAACCUGGGAGGCAGAGGUUGCAGGUGAGCUGAGAUCAGGCCACUGUACUCCAGCCUGGGUGACAGGGUAAGACUCCUCCUC